rnacentral:rRNA from 1 species
UACCAGCACCCCGAGUGGUCGGGACGUUUAUUGGGCCUAAAGCAUCCGUAGCCGGUUCUACAAGUCUUCCGUUAAAUCCACCUGCUUAACAGAUGGGCUGCGGAAGAUACUAUGGAGCUAGGAGGCGGGAGAGGCAAGCGGUACUCGAUGGGUAGGGGUAAAAUCCGUUGAUCCAUUGAAGACCACCAGUGGCGAAGGCGGCUUGCCAGAACGCGCUCGACGGUGAGGGAUGAAAGCUAGGGGAGCAAACGGG